CCCAGGUGUAAUUUGAUGUUUUGUAGGCUCUGGAUGUGGACCUUGUUGCUGAUCCUGAUUUCCCUGCUGUGAUUGAUAACGUUAUUGACUUUGUGAGUGAGACCGAACAGGCCUCGGAUAUCACAUCAGACAUGAUUCAAGUCAGUAUGGCGGAGACUGAACAUCUUACUGCUGACACGGCCUCUUCUGACUUGCAGAAACCAGCUGAUGAAGAGGAGUUAAAAGCUUAAAUGGUCACGCAUCUGUCCCUUAAAAUCGAGGACACGUCUGAAGACGACAUCAUCUUCUUGACGGAGUGGCAGGUUUCCCCGGCCGAGGUGAGCGAGCCCGGUAGUAAAGAGUAGCUGCGGCUAGACUACUUCAUCAGUCGGUGCUCUUUUUUUAAAUUUAUUUUAUUUAGACAUAUUCAGAACAGUUUGUUCAGAAGCGACGGUAAAGAAAAUUCAUUACAGCUUCGUUUUGGUUUAAUAAAAGGUUGAGUUUAAAAGUGCAUGUGUUACGUGUUGUGAUGAGGAAAACUAUCGAAACAUCAUUUUGUUUAGUAGUGUCUCGUACUUUUCCUUCAUUUUAUAUAGCACAAAAUAGUGGACCCGGUUCUUGUUCUUUACAGGUCCACAUCAGAAUUUCAGUAAAAAAUAAACAAGGUGCAAGUUUCACUGGUGCUUUUGAGAUUAAACAAUGCACACACAAAACAUGUUUCAUUCCCUUUUUUUAUUGCCAUUUAUAAAUCAUAUGUAAAACGGAUAUAAAUUACACAAUAAUUAUUACAGUCAGGCUUUUCAUGUGCCAGUGUUUUAUCUUCCUAUAGUUCAUUUGCAUCUCAGGAUUGUUUUUUAUUCCCAUACAAGACAAGUGACAAAACACUUCAAAUGGAAAUACAUGGAUUAAUUUAUAAAUUGUUUCAAAUAUAAAAUGACAUCGUAAAAUAUUUCAUUCUGAUUGUGGGCAUUUUGUAGUGUAAAGGCUUUAUAGAAAGCACUUUUCUUAUGUACAAUACCUCAAAAUGCAGUGCAAUAAAGUAGUAAAAUUAAAUGAUAAACAACGUAAUAGAAUGCACAGGACAAAUGAAAAGUUUGUGUGAGUUUGUGCCCAGGAGAAGAACCUGACGUGG